rnacentral:lncRNA from 1 species
AUAAGAAUCAGGAUGACGAAGCCAUGAAGAGCAAGCCAGUAAGCAACACUCCUCCAUUGCCUUUUCGCUUCCCGAGGAUCCUGCCGCCAGGCUCUUGCCUUGACGUCCUGCACUGACUUCCUUCAUCGAGACAGCGAGAUAGUGGGACCUGAGCGUGUUAAGCUGAAACAAGCCCUUUCAUCUCCAAGGAUAUCCAGUGUGUACCUUCUCAUGAGCUGCCAAACCAAUACCAGCGUGAGAGUGUGGUUUCCUUCAUUGAGGUCUUGUCCUGCGAUGCCAACCAGGGAGAAUUUAGCUUGAUUCUUCACCAGAUCCCACUGCAUAAUUAAUUACAGUUCUCCAGCUUUUUCACAUUGCCCCCCAGCUUGGGGUAUGGAGGCUUGUUUACUCUGUUCUAGUCAGCAGGGACUUUGAUCUUUUCAUAGAGCUGGAAGAUGUCUAAGGCAUCUGAUAAGUCGCUGUACAAAUGAUUGACUUGAGGGUUAACUCCCAGUUCCUCAACGUCCGCUCUUCGAGAGCCCCCCAGUCAAUGUCCUGGUUCUCUGGUUUAUGUAAGGCAGGGUAUUUGUUAAAGAGGUUGGCAAUGAAGACCAGGUUCAACUUGGGGUUCCCUCGGACAACAUCAGUAGCUGUGACAAACUGCCGGCAGCCCAGCCUCUCCGCCUGUUGCAGCAUGCGCUCUGCACUCUGGAUGUCAUCCUUCUUCAGUCCUGAUGUGUCAAUCACAACAGCCGGGAUCCCUUCUUCAUCUCCUUUUGGAGCCACUUGCUCGAGCAGGUGGUAAUAAGCUUUGGAGUCCUUGAUGUCGUGCUGAAGUUGGUGAUUUUGGUGCAGCCUGCGUUUUCUAGGUGGUAGUUAGCCCACUGCAGCAGGAAUUCUUCAGGAGACAACUUCAUCAAAUCCUCUAGGCUCUCUCCUUCUCUCAAAAGAGCAAUCAGAGCUUCAUUUCUGCUGAGUUCAAUGUCAACAAACAACCCAAUCUUGAUGACUUGCCACAGAAGUCCCAGGACCAGGUAAGGCUUGCCCUCCUUCAGGUCCUCGGCCCCUAUAUUAACCACGUGGCACCCGAUGGCCAAGGCAGAGUUCAGAGUCAAGUUCAAGUUUUCCCGAAUGGUGAACGGUGUGAGCUUUUUCUUGUUGAUCGUUCUCUCGUCAAUUGUGUCUGGCACGGACAGGUUGAUCAUUUUACAAAGAACUAUGCCAACGCCUACAGCAUUGAAGAGAUCGUCGGUGUUGGGGUUCAUGGGGAUGACGUGCCGGCAGUCGAGAUCAUUCUCCAGGGCUUUGUUUAUCCAGUUGACUAAGGCAUACUUUUCUUCCUCUGAAUAAGAGUGCUGGGUACCAACACUAGACUGCUCAGAGGUGCCGCCAAUUGCACAGAUCUUUUUUCUUGUUGAUAGCUUUUUUGGAAGGUUUUGGCAACCUCGGUGCUUUUUAAGCCAUGGAAGACCUUGAUAAACUCAUCAAAGCUUUAUCUUUCUAUCUUGGUCCAGAUCACCUGUGGCCAUCAGGUUUCUGCAAUUUCUCUCACUCGGUACCCAGGCAGAGGCCAGCAGGCGGCCUUGAACAAGUGACGCAGCUCAUUGUAGCUGAUGUAUCCGUUGCCAUCGGUAUCUGUCUCUGCUGCCCCGUGCGCCGCCACCAGGCCCAGCAUUUACAUGGGUGCUGGGGAUCAAACUCCAGGAUAUUUUCUAGUUCCAUCAUUUCCCUGCAAAAUUCAUGAUGUUCUUGUUUUUAAUAGCUGAAUAGUAUUCCAUUGUGAACCACAAUUUCUGUAUUAAUUCUUCAGUUGAGGGACAUGUGAUUUUUUUUUUUUAGUUUGUUUAUAUAGU